UCAACAGGUCCAAUGCAAGCAGU
rnacentral:snRNA from 1 species